rnacentral:rRNA from 1 species
CCGACGGUGAGGGGCGAAAGCUGGGGGAGCAAACCGGAUUAGAUACCCGGGUAGUCCCAGCCGUAAGCGAUGUGCGUUAGGUGUAUCGGUGACCACGAGUCACCGAGGUGCCGAAGAGAAAUCGUGAAACGUACCGCCUGGGAAGUACGGUCGCAAGGCUGAAACUUAAAGGAAUUGGCGGGGAGCACCACAACAGGUGGAGCCUGCGGUUUAAUCGGACUCAACGCCGGGAAACUCACCAGAUAAGACAGCUGAAUGAUAGUCGGGCUGAAGACUCUACUUGACUAGCUGAGAGGAGGUGCAUGGCCGUCGUCAGUUCGUACUGUGAAGCAUCCUGUUAAGUCAGGCAACGAGCGAGACCCACGCAACAGUUGCUAG